ensembl:snRNA U6 U6 spliceosomal RNA
GUGCUACCUUAGGCAGCACAUGUACUAAAAUUUGAAUGUUUCAGAGAAAAUUAGCAUGCCUCCUGCACAAGGAUGAUAUGCACAUUCAUGAAGCUUCCAUAUUUCU